UACGAAGGGUGCAAGCGUUACUCGGAAUUACUGGGCGUAAAGGGUGCGUAGGUGGUUUGUUAAGUCUGCUGUGAAAUCCCCGGGCUCAACCUGGGAAUGGCAGUGGAUACUGGCAAGCUAGAGUGCGGUAGAGGGUAGUGGAAUUCCCGGUGUAGCAGUGAAGUGCGUAGAGAUCGGGAGGAACACCAGUGGCGAAGGCGGCUACCUGGACCAGCACUGACACUGAAGCACGAAAGCGUGGGGAGCAAACAGG
rnacentral:rRNA from 1 species